GACUUUAUCUGAUACACAAUUUCGUAACAUUUGGAGAUGGUACCAGUUCCAAGUGGGUGGUUACAUAUAACUUGAAUUACACUAUUGAUUUGAUAAAUUGGGGAUCAGUGAGCCCAACGGUAAUUGCUACAGUAUAUAACCUUUCAGGUUAUUUAUUUUAUAACUUAUAGUUUGUUGCAUGACAUGAGAACGGUAUAACUUAAAGAAAAGAAAUAUUUUUGGUCUUUAGACAUUUCAAGGAAACAAAAAUGCUUACAAUGAUGCAGCUAUACAAGAUUUCCCUGGAGACAUAACAACAAGAGCUUUGCGGUUUAUUCCAUUAUCAUAUGUUGGUCAACCGUGUAUGAGAAUUGAAAUUUGUGGAACUAGUAAGUUAU